rnacentral:rRNA from 1 species
CGAACGCUAGCGGCGCGGAUUAGGUAUGCAAGUCGAACGGGAACUAUAUAACAGAUCCUUCGGGUGAAGACUUAUAGGGAACGUGGCGAAAGGGUGAGUAAUUAAAUGGAUAACCUGCCCUCAAGUCUGGGAUAAUCCAUCGAAAGAUGGGGUAAUACCGGAUGGCACAACUUUCCUUCGGGUUUGUUGUUAAAGGUGGCUUCGGCUUCCGCUUGAGGAGGGGUUCAUUUCCUAUUAGCUUGUUGGUGAGGUAACGGCUCACCAAGGCCGAGAUGGGUAGGGGGCCUUAGCGGGUGACCCUCCACACUGGGACUGAGACACUGCCCAGGUUCCUACGGGAGGCUGCAAUCGAGAAUCCUCCGCAAUGGGCGAAAGCCUGACGGGGUGACGCCGCGUGAAUGAUGAAGGCCUUUCAGGUUGUAAAAUUCUAACAGGGAGCAUGAAGUAUACGGAGACUAAUAAUUUCCGUAUUUGACGUCAAUCCCAGAUGAAGUCACGGCUAAAUCCGUGCCAGCAGCCGCGGUAACACGGAUGUGGCGAGCGUUGUUCGGAAUCACUGGGCUUAAAGCGCACGUAGGCGGCGCAGUAAGUUGAUUUGUGAAAUCCCCCGGCUCAACCGGGGAAUUGCAGUCAAUACUGCUGUGCUAGAGUUCGGGAGGGGAGAGCGGAACUCUGGGUGUAGCGGUGGAAUGCGAAGAUAUCCAGGGGAAGGCCGGUAGCGAAAGCGGCUCUCUGGUCCGACACUGACGCUGAGGUGCGAAAGCGUAGGUAGCGAACGGGAUUAGAUACCCCGGUAGUCUACGCCGUAAACGAUGGGCACUAGGUGGUGGAAACGCCGAUAGUUUUCUCCGCCGUAGCAAAAGCGAUAAGUGCCCCGCCUGGGGAGUAUGGUCGCAAGAUUAAAACUCAAAGGAAUUGACGGGGGCCCACACAAGCGGUGGAGGAUGCGGCUUAAUUCGAGUACACGCGUAGAACCUUGCCGAGGCUUGACAUGCAGGGAUUAACCCAGCGAAAGCUGGGGGAUUGCUUUACUGUGUAACCUGCACAGGUGCUGCAUGGCUGUCGACAGUUCGUGUCUUGAGAUGUCGGGUUAAUUCCUAUAACGAGCGAAACCCCUGUGCUUAGUUGCCAGCGCGUCAUGGCGGGGACUCUAAGCAGACUGCCCCGGCCAACGGGGUGGAAGGUGGGGAUGACGUCAAGUCAGCAUGGCCCUUAUGCCUCGGGCUGCACGCGUCCUACAAUGGGGCAUACAAUGAGUCCCGAUCCCGCGAGGGGGAGGAAAUCUCAAAAGUGCUCCUCAGUUCGGAUUGCGGGCUGAAACUCGCCUGCAUGAAGGUGGAAUCGCUAGUAAUCGCCGGUCAGCUAUACGGCGGUGAAUACGUCCCUGGGCCUUGUACACACCGCCCGUCAAGCCACCCGAGUUGGGUGCGCUCGAAGUCCAAGACUCAACCCUUCGGGGAGAGAUUGGCCGAAGGCGAAUCUGAUAAGGUGGACUAAGUCGUAACAAGGUA